rnacentral:lncRNA from 1 species
GAGUGGGUGUGUGGCUGGGAUGUUACUGGAUCACUGCUCACUUCCUACUCACAGUUUCCAUCACUCAGACACUCACAGCAUGUGCUGCUCUCACUGUUUCCCUUCUUUAGCAGAAAUGCAGCAUGACAUUAGUGGAAGUGGAGCCACUGCAUCCGUCCGUUUGCCAGAAUAAACCUUCUGAAAGGUUUGAAGAGGGAGACACUGUACUUAGUGAGGGGACUCCACUAAUGUAUACAGACACACACUGGUGUACUGAUUCACAGAUCAGUGUGUUGCUCUGUUUGUGUCUCAGUGUGGACAGAAGAAUCUCAGCAGAAUGAUCACCAGAGGCAGACACAUGCAGGAGCUGUUCCACCACAAAGCUUCACCGCCACUGGAGAGGUCGUCAUUAUGUACAGAAGCUCCGGGAGGUCUGUGUUGUAUAAAGAGAGGGGAGAAGUGUGAGUCUCUGGGUAUUAACCCAUUAUUAAUGGUGACUGGUGCCUGGCAGCACGACGCAGCACGACUGAUUCUGAGAGAGAGAGGCAUCUGUCAGACAACACAGAAUGGAGGAAAUGUCAGAAGAUGAGCUCUGUAAUCAGGCAUCCCAUCCUGAUGCAUGUCAUAUAUGUAUUGGACAGACAGAUGGAGCGCAGAACCACUUCCUGUCCCGUC